AGCGAACGCUGGCGGCAGGCCUAACACAUGCAAGCCGAACGGAUCCUUCGGGAUUAGUGGCGGACGGGUGAGUAACACGUGGGAACGUGCCCUUUGGUUCGGAACAACUCAGGGAAACUUGAGCUAAUACCGGAUGUGCCCUUCGGGGGAAAGAUUUAUCGCCAUUGGAGCGGCCCGCGUCGGAUUAGCUAGUUGGUGGGGUAAAGGCCCACCAAGGCGACAAUCCGUAGCUGGUCUGAGAGGAUGAUCAGCCACAUUGGGACUGAGACACGGCCCAAACUCCUACGGGAGGCAGCAGUGGGGAAUCUUGCGCAAUGGGCGAAAGCCUGACGCAGCCAUGCCGCGUGAAUGAUGAAGGUCUUAGGAUUGUAAAAUUCUUUCACCGGGGACGAUAAUGACGGUACCCGGAGAAGAAGCCCCGGCUAACUUCGUGCCAGCCGCCGCGGUAAAAC
rnacentral:rRNA from 1 species